UACGUAGGGUGCGAGCGUUAAUCGGAAUUACUGGGCGUAAAGCGUGCGCAGGCGGUUGAUUAAGUCUGAUGGGAAAGCCCCGGGCUCAACCUGGGAAUGGCAUUGGAAACUGGUCAGCUGGAGUGUGGCAGAGGGGGGUGGAAUUCCGCGUGUAGCAGUGAAAUGCGUAGAGAUGCGGAGGAACACCGAUGGCGAAGGCAGCCCCCUGGGCCAACACUGACGCUCAGGCACGAAAGCGUGGGGAGCAAACAGG
rnacentral:rRNA from 1 species